GCUGCAAAGUGACCUACUUUUAAAACCAAAUCUCUCUCUCCCCCUCCCUUUUUUUUUUCUUCUGUCUUUGUUAGAUUUACUUUCCCUUUGGCGCCUCACAGCAGAAGUGUUUAGCAGCAGGAGGAGUCAAAGUGGAUGUAUUUCACAACAACACAACAGUCUCACAGUGGAAUUUUCUUGGCGCAGCUUGGUUUCAGUGGGUCUCUGUUGCUGCUUUCGAGGCCUUCCUGCUUCAUUUCGCGGACAACCAGAAUAAUAGUGCACCAUGCUGUGAUUCCCCAGUUAACCCACAAUUUGAAAACUGUAUCAUGCCUCGCUGGAGUAAAGUCUCUAUCAUAUGUGGUGUCCAGACAGAACCAACAGCAGCCAACAGGUUGUAGUGUGUUGUCUCUCCUCAUUCUGCUGGUGAGGUCUACACUCUGCUAUGGCUUUGACUGAGGAGGAAGAGGAGGGAGGUCCUCCCUCUGAAGCCACUCUGCCUGGGAAACAUGACAGCCAGACCAAACCUAAGAGCCCAGUCCAUCAGGAGAGCCCAAACUCCCCUGCGCCCGGCUGUGAACCCAUGAAGACAGACCAGUGUAUGGAAAUAGCUCUUACAUCCAAACAUACUGAACAG